AGAGUUUGAUCAUGGCUCAGAUUGAACGCUGGCGGCAGGCCUAACACAUGCAAGUCGAACGGUAACAGGAAGCAGCUUGCUGCUUUGCUGACGAGUGGCGGACGGGUGAGUAAUGUCUGGGAAACUGCCUGAUGGAGGGGGAUAACUACUGGAAACGGUGGCUAAUACCGCAUAACGUCGCAAGACCAAAGAGGGGGACCUUCGGGCCUCUUGCCAUCAGAUGUGCCCAGAUGGGAUUAGCUUGUUGGUGAGGUAACGGCUCACCAAGGCGACGAUCCCUAGCUGGUCUGAGAGGAUGACCAGCCACACUGGAACUGAGACACGGUCCAGACUCCUACGGGAGGCAGCAGUGGGGAAUAUUGCACAAUGGGCGCAAGCCUGAUGCAGCCAUGCCGCGUGUAUGAAGAAGGCCUUCGGGUUGUAAAGUACUUUCAGCGGGGAGGAAGGUGUUGUGGUUAAUAACCGCAGCAAUUGACGUUACCCGCAGAAGAAGCACCGGCUAACUCCGUGCCAGCAGCCGCGGUAAUACGGAGGGUGCAAGCGUUAAUCGGAAUUACUGGGCGUAAAGCGCACGCAGGCGGUCUGUCAAGUUGGAUGUGAAAUCCCCGGGCUCAACCUGGGAACUGCAUUCGAAACUGGCAGGCUUGAGUCUUGUAGAGGGGGGUAGAAUUCCAGGUGUAGCGGUGAAAUGCGUAGAGAUCUGGAGGAAUACCGGUGGCGAAGGCGGCCCCCUGGACAAAGACUGACGCUCAGGUGCGAAAGCGUGGGGAGCAAACAGGAUUAGAUACCCUGGUAGUCCACGCCGUAAACGAUGUCUACUUGGAGGUUGUGCCCUUGAGGCGUGGCUUCCGGAGCUAACGCGUUAAGUAGACCGCCUGGGGAGUACGGCCGCAAGGUUAAAACUCAAAUGAAUUGACGGGGGCCCGCACAAGCGGUGGAGCAUGUGGUUUAAUUCGAUGCAACGCGAAGAACCUUACCUGGUCUUGACAUCCACAGAAGAAUCCAGAGAUGGAUUUGUGCCUUCGGGAACUGUGAGACAGGUGCUGCAUGGCUGUCGUCAGCUCGUGUUGUGAAAUGUUGGGUUAAGUCCCGCAACGAGCGCAACCCUUAUCCUUUGUUGCCAGCGAUUAGGUCGGGAACUCAAAGGAGACUGCCAGUGAUAAACUGGAGGAAGGUGGGGAUGACGUCAAGUCAUCAUGGCCCUUACGACCAGGGCUACACACGUGCUACAAUGGCGCAUACAAAGAGAAGCGACCUCGCGAGAGCAAGCGGACCUCAUAAAGUGCGUCGUAGUCCGGAUUGGAGUCUGCAACUCGACUCCAUGAAGUCGGAAUCGCUAGUAAUCGUGGAUCAGAAUGCCACGGUGAAUACGUUCCCGGGCCUUGUACACACCGCCCGUCACACCAUGGGAGUGGGUUGCAAAAGAAGUAGGUAGCUUAACCUUCGGGAGGGCGCUUACCACUUUGUGAUUCAUGACUGGGGUGAAGUCGUAACAAGGUAACCGUAGGGGAACCUGCGGUUGGAUCACCU
rnacentral:rRNA from 1 species